rnacentral:misc_RNA from 1 species
CCUGCUUUUGUGUGUCUCUUCGUGCUCCCGCGGCGCCCCCCCAGCGCUCUCUCUCCGUCGCACGACCAGCACGCUGCCAGCGAGCUGCCACCAGCACCUGCCAUGCCCGCAGCAACAGCGGCGCUGUCACGGCAUGCUGCAACACCCCCAAGUGCUCCUAGACGGCUCUCCACACACCGCUCGGUCCCCGUGCGCUCCCCCAGCUGCCUCUGUGCAGGCCUGCGCUUGCUGUGGCUGUCACGUCGUUGCAGGCUUGGGCCACCAGCACUCCGCCCCUGCCGGCUACAUCACCCCCCACGAGCUGCACAUUCUGUACACGUUGGAACUUUUCCAGCGUGCAGUAGCAGCAGCCCCGCAGUCGCCUCACGAGCUCGCGCAGUGCGCGCGGUGUACGCACCGGCCGGCCAGCUGCAGUAUCCGGAGAAGCCGCGGGUCCGCGGGCCCUCGUCCGGGAUCUCGACGCCCUCAUUCCAUUCCCAUGUCGCCAACAGCUGUUUUAUCUCCAUGUCUCGCGCCUGCAUGUGCCUGCGCCUCGCACCCGGGCGCAACCUGUUGCAGCGCACUGAGCUCGUCCACCACCACCCAUGCCACACUGCACGCUCGCUCCCAGUGACACUUCUGUGUAGGCCUGGCUGUGUAGCUGCUGAAAUCGCUGACUCUGUCGUGAUACGGUCAUACCACCA